AGAGUUUGAUCAUGGCUCAGAUUGAACGCUGGCGGCAUGCUUUACACAUGCAAGUCGAACGGCAGCACGGGGGGCAACCCUGGUGGCGAGUGGCGAACGGGUGAGUAAUAUAUCGGAACGUACCCGGAAAUGGGGGAUAACGUAGCGAAAGUUACGCUAAUACCGCAUAUGCCCUAAGGGGGAAAGCGGGGGAUUCGCAAGAACCUCGCGUUUUCGGAGCGGCCGAUAUCGGAUUAGCUAGUAGGUGAGGUAAAGGCUCACCUAGGCGACGAUCCGUAGCUGGUCUGAGAGGACGACCAGCCACACUGGAACUGAGACACGGUCCAGACUCCUACGGGAGGCAGCAGUGGGGAAUUUUGGACAAUGGGCGCAAGCCUGAUCCAGCCAUGCCGCGUGAGUGAAGAAGGCCUUCGGGUUGUAAAGCUCUUUCAGCCGGAAAGAAAACGCACGGGUUGAUAACCUGUGUGGAUGACGGUACCGGAAGAAGAAGCACCGGCUAACUACGUG
rnacentral:rRNA from 1 species